rnacentral:rRNA from 1 species
GAUGAACGCUGGCGGCGUGCCUAAUACAUGCAAGUCGAGCGAAUGGAUUAAGAGCUUGCUCUUAUGAAGUUAGCGGCGGACGGGUGAGUAACACGUGGGUAACCUGCCCAUAAGACUGGGAUAACUCCGGGAAACCGGGGCUAAUACCGGAUAACACUUUGAACCGCAUGGUUCGAAAUUGAAAGGCGGCUUCGGCUGUCACUUAUGGAUGGACCCGCGUCGCAUUAGCUAGUUGGUGAGGUAACGGCUCACCAAGGCAACGAUGCGUAGCCGACCUGGGAGGGUGAUCGGCCACACCGGGACUGAGACACGGCCCAGACUCCUACGGGAGGCAGCAGUAGGGAAUCUUCCGCAAUGGACGAAAGUCUGACGGAGCAACGCCGCGUGAGUGAUGAAGGCUUUCGGGUCGUAAAACUCUGUUGUUAGGGAAGAACAAGUGCUAGUUGAAUAAGCUGGCACCUUGACGGUACCUAACCAGAAAGCCACGGCUAACUACGUGCCAGCCGCCGCCGUAA